CUUUCGCCUUGGGAGACUGCCACGCCCCAUCCUCUCGCGCGUCCAAUAGGGGAGAGACGGCGGGGAGGCCUCGCUCUGACUCGGGAGAGGCUAUAUAGGGAGCUGCAAGCGGAAGGGCUAGUUCUUUUACGUCGGGACCUGGGGUCGUCCUUCUUUGAGUACGAGCAAUGUCGCCGUUUUUCGGAGAUAUAUCGGAGUAUUUGAGUGCACGUGCCAAGUCGAGUGAAAAAAUUCCAAACUGUCCACCAGAACCUUCAAUGGAAAAAUACUUGCUCAAAACUUGACAGUCACACCAGUGUCAUCGGUGUUGAUAAUGUUGAAGGUAUAGAUAUCAUUGGCCAUUUUGAAGAUGAGAUAUCACUUAUGUUAAAUGAGUAAGUAUUCCAGUAUACUCAGAAGCCAUCUUGCUGGGAAGUGCCUAAGGUGGAUUGAUUGAUUUCUGGCUGGUACCAUAAUGGGUUUUCCUGUUGUAUGAAUGGCUGAUGAAGACCACCAAGAAAGGCACACAUGAAGAUCACUUUAAAAGUUGGGAUUGCAUUAGUUUUUCUUUUGCUUGGUAUUGGAGUUGCAUUAGGCAUACAGUUCACUGGUAGCCAAUGAAACAGCCUGGGUUUUUGGGGAGUUCUUGAAUUUUAGCUAACCAGCCUUUGAGAGGAAACACUAAAUUAAAUCUGAGUUUCCCAGAUUGAGGUAAAAUUUCCAUCCUCCUAUCUCAGCCUCAGAGUUUUGGGAUUAUCUAACAUGCCUUUAAUCAUCUGGAUUUAAAAGUGAAAGUUUUUGCAAUUUUGGGACACUGCCAUAUAUGUAGAGCUGGCCUAAUUUGUCAUUGAUCAAUGACUAGCCUAGUGAUGGAGUUAAUAAGUGAAAUUUCUACAUAGCAAUCAGUGUGCUGUCUUAUUUAAAUGUAUGUACUAUAGUUAUGUGUACUGCCGAAAUUUUACUUGUUUUCAUGCCUCAACCUUCAUCUGCUCACCUGUUAAUAGAGAACUACAUUAGUUCCACAUUUUGCUCCUGUGAAUAUUGCUGCAAUAAGUUAAGUAUGCAAAUACAGAUGUCUCUGACAUACUUGAAUUCUUUUAUGUCCAUAUAUAAACAAUAGUUGGGUUCUAUUUCUGAUAUUUGGAGGCAGUAGUAGUUCUUCCCAUCAUUGGUAACGCUUGAUAUUUGUGUUUUUGGUGAUAGCCUUUUUAAUUGAAGUGUUGCCUUGUUUUGGUUUUCAUUUCCCUAGAAAUUACUGAUGAAGAUUUAUGUGCUUAUUGGCAGUCUUGAGAAGUAGCUGUUGAGUAGCUCAGCCCAUUUUGGGUUUUGGUAGUACUUUGUUUCUUGAGACAGUCUAGUCAUUCUUUGAACAUGUAAUCCUGCCUCAACCUCCAGAGCCUUGGUAUUGAUGCUGUGCACUACCACACCCAAUUCUCAUUUGCCCUUUGUGUGUGUGUGUUCCUACAGAUUAAACAGCCUUCUUGCAAAAUACAUCCUUGGCCCAUUUUUUUUAAUAGCAAAACAUUUAUUGGUACAUUUUAGGCUUACAUAAUUAUAACAAAAUGGGGAAUUUGUACAUGAUAAAUCCCACCUCUUCCCAAGUUCCUUCUAUGUACAAAAGUUUUGUUUCCAUCUUUCCUUCCUGUUUUCACUUUUUCUUGUCCCUUUCUCCAUUCCCCCUCCCUUCCCAUUUCCAUUUGAAUAUUUUCCUAAUACCUAUUAUACAUUAUAGUCCUUAUUUCUGGUACCAGGGAUUGAACUCAAGACCUUGCACUUGUGAGGCAAGUGCAGU